rnacentral:lncRNA from 1 species
GGGAGAUGACAGUGGCUCCCAGGAAGCCCAGGAUUCAAUCGCUGAGAGAGUGCUUAGGCCCGAAGGCCUGCCCAAAUCGUUCUACUCACCGUGUCGGAGGCCGAGGCCGAGGCCGAGAGCGACGAGAGUGCAGGGAAGUGGGGAAGAGGGGGUGGCCGCCAGGCUCCUCCGCUUCCCUGGGUCCACGGCGGAUCCCUCCCGCUUGUCAGGAGGCGGCCAGCGGGCUCGUUGCCGCGGCGCUGCGGCUCGCCUCCCCCUGCUCCUCCUCCUGCUCUAGACCGCGGAGAGCGGAUCGAAGGCUGCCUAGCGCCCCUCUGCCGGCCGGUGGUUGGAGGCCGCGGCGGCUGCGCGUUGAGUCGUUUCCUGCCGGAUGACCUGAGCCUACUUCGCAGUCGCAGGACGAGUGCUUUGGAGCCGGUCCCAGGCGGUGUGUGCCGGUCGCCUAGCCAGGAGAACUGGUCCUCGACUCACGGUGAGGGAAUGGACCGACACGGGGGUUGUACCGCUGAGGAAAAGGAGCGGGACUCCGGACCUCCAGGAGGUAGGGAGUGAGGCCAGCAGGACCGGCGCACCUCCGGGGGGAUUCCUUCCGGACGCUGGGUUGCCAACCUGAGACCCGAGGAAGAUCGGCAUGAUGGUCUGCUUUUUGUUAUUGUUAACCUGCCUCGGAUUUCUCGAAGUUCACACCACUGUCCAUAUGCGAUGAUGUUUGUUUGUCCUUGACGCACUUAACUCAUGGAUGGCACUUCUUCAGCCUCGUUAGGCAGGCUGAUGAUAGAGGAUGAAGAAACCAUGUGUUUCUCAUUCAGUUCUGGACUCAGUCUCCAUUUUCUUCCUUCAGCAAGUUAUUUUUCUUAGUUCCUUAUCAAAAAGUGUACAUAAAAAUUAGGCAACUCCAAACAUGCCUCCAGGGUUGAUGUGUGAAAUAAUAAGAUAAUAUAUUAAAAUGGAAUUAGGUCCUAGGCAUAGGGCAAGUGCAGAAUAUUGCCGUGUUGUCAUUUACAGUUGUUGAUAUCGAUAAGGUUUGUGGGUGUAAUUGGUAGUGUUCUGUCCCUCCAAGUCGUUAAUAAAACAAAGCAAACAUAGACCUGUUAGGUUUCU